UGAAGUGAUGAUGUAAUUUGCGUCUUAGAGUUGCUCUGUGAACAGUUGCCUGCUGUUCCAGUGCAGAGCAUUUUCACUGACGACAAAUUUGAUUCUGAUCA